AACGUAGGAGGCGAGCGUUAUCCGGAUUUACUGGGUGUAAAGCGCGUGCAGGCGGUUUGAUAAGUUGGAUGUGAAAGCUCCUGGCUCAACUGGGAGAGGUCGUUCAAAACUAUCAGACUAGAGAGUGGUAGAGGAAAGUGGAAUUCCCGGUGUAGUGGUGAAAUGCGUAGAUAUCGGGAGGAACACCAGUGGCGAAGGCGGCUUUCUGGACCAUUUCUGACGCUCAGACGCGAAAGCUAGGGGAGCAAACGGG
rnacentral:rRNA from 1 species